rnacentral:rRNA from 1 species
GAAAAGAAACCAACAGGGAUUGCCCUAGUAACGGCGAGUGAAGCGGCAACAGCUCAAAUUUGAAAUCUGGCCUCGGCCCGAGUUGUAAUUUGCAGAGGAUGCUUCUGGCGCGGUGCCUUCCGAGUUCCCUGGAACGGGACGCCACAGAGGGUGAGAGCCCCGUAUGGUCGGACACCAAGCCUGUGUGAAGCUCCUUCGACGAGUCGAGUAGUUUGGGAAUGCUGCUCUAAAUGGGAGGUAAAUCUCUUCUAAAGCUAAAUACCGGCCAGAGACCGAUAGCGCACAAGUAGAGUGAUCGAAAGAUGAAAAGCACCUUGAAAAGGGGGUUAAAUAGUACGUGAAAUUGUUGAAAGGGAAGCACUUAUGACCAGACUUGGGCCGGGCGGCUCAUCAGGGGUUCUCCCCUGUGCACUCCGCCCGGCACAGGCCAGCAUCGGUUCUCGUGGGGGGAUAAGACCGACAGGAACGUAGCACCCUCCGGGGUGUGUUAUAGCCUGGCGGACGAUACCCCCGUGGGGACCGAGGUCCGCGCUCCGCAAGGAUGCUGGCGUAAUGGUCAUCAGUGACCCGUCUUGAAACACGGACCAAGGAGUCGUCCAUUAGAGCGAGCGUUUGGGUGUAAAACCCGCACGCGUAAUGAAAGUGAACGCAGGUGAGAGCUUCGGCGCAUCAUCGACCGAUCCUGAUGUUCUCGGAAGGAUUUGAGUAAGAGUUUUAACGGACGGACCCGAAAGACAGUGAACUAUGCUUGUAUAGGGUGAAGCCAGAGGAAACUCUGGUGGAGGCUCGCAGCGGUUCUGACGUGCAAAUCGAUCGUCAAAUAUGAGCAUGGGGGCGAAAGACUAAUCGAACUGUCUAGUAGCUGGUUACCGCCGAAGUUUCCCUCAGGAUAGCAGUGUUGAUCUUCAGUUUUAUGAGGUAAAGCGAAUGAUUAGGGACUCGGGGGCUAUAUAUUGCCUUCAUCCAUUCUCAAACUUUAAAUAUGUAAGAAGCCCUUGUUACUUAGUUGAACGUGGGCAUUCGAAUGUACCAACACUAGUGGGCCAUUUUUGGUAAGCAGAACUGGCGAUGCGGGAUGAACCGAACGCGGGGUUAAGGCGCCAGAGUGUACGCUCAUCAGACACCACAAAAGGCGUUAGUACAUCUUGACAGCAGGACGGUGGCCAUGGAAGUCGGAAUCCGCUAAGGACUGUGUAACAACUCACCUGCCGAAUGUACUAGCCCUGAAAAUGGAUGGCGCUCAAGCGUACCGCCCAUACCCCGCCCCCAGGGUAGAAACGAUGCCCUGGGGAGUAGGCGGCCGUGGGGGUCAGUGACGAAGCCUAGGGCGUGAGCCCGGGUCGACGGCCCC